rnacentral:lncRNA from 1 species
AGAUGCAAUGCAGGCCGCCAUCCUGAAAAUGCGACCAAGACACAAUCGUUGAACUGAUGCAUCACUCAGAGAACUUUUAGCAGUCUCUAAGGAGGAGGAGGAGGAGAUGAGAUGGGCAAGAAUUGCCUUGACCUUCUAUAACACAAUGAACCUGGACAGUGUUAGAAUCCACCACCAUAUAACUCAUUCUGAUCCACCAUCACCGCCAUUGGCAUACCCACUGUAGUGGCAGAACCAUCAUAAUGAACUGCUUCCUUGGAUAAAGGUAAAUUUCAUUAUGCUCGCUCAAUGUAAUCCCGAACCAUCGUCACAUCAUACCAGCCAAGCAUAAGACCAAUAAACACCAGAUUUAUCUGCUUGCAAUUGGAGCAAAAUAGAACAGUAGCCCAAAACCUGCAGCCAGAAGAAA